UUUCAAGAGUCUGAACUUUGAGAAGUCAUGAACAGAGAUGUACAUGAAUUCAUGUAUUUGUAAAAGCUCAUAAAAUUAUUGCAACUCUCUUCAGUCUUCAAACCUUCUCUCGACUAUAAUUUGUUGCUAAAUUAAUCUGAUCAUGAGUCUCCUUGCCUAAAAAUCUCCUCCUUCCUUGCAGAAGACCAAGACAAAAGAAGUCCAAGAUGAACCUCUUUAGUGUGACAACCAGAUCUUCUAUAAUUUAACCUCAGCAUACUUUUCCCACUCUUUCUACUACUUCACUUCAUAUAACCAAGCCUGACUCCGUGACCUCAAUUUCCCAUCAGCAUUGGGGCUCCUGAAGAACAUCAGUGUGUUGCUUCCCAUGAAAGACAAAUGGAUUUCUAAGAAGAGAUGGUUUUUCGCUUCCUUCAGACUUCAGGACCUGGAGGCUGAGCUUCUCUCUUCCUUUCAGGGAGGGUAUCAGUCUGGAUAGAAAAACUUCAAGUUUGGAAGCCACAUGAUAUUAAGAUUGAAUAUAAGUUCUCCUGCUUAGUAGUUAAGUUUGGGUAAAUUCUUAACUUCUAGGAUUAAGUUCCUCA
rnacentral:lncRNA from 1 species